rnacentral:ribozyme from 13 species
UUGAACGUUUGUUUUUUUUUUUUUUUUUUCGUUGUUUUUUUUUUUUUUUAUCUACCAAUAUUGAAAAGAGAGGAAGGAAAGGGAAUUCCCCUUCUCUUUUCAAUUAAUAAUUUUAUUCGAAUAACCAAUAGAAAAUAAGUCAAUCAUCAGGAUAAACCAACCAAUAAAACAACGAAAAAAAAUAUUUU